rnacentral:ribozyme from 12 species
GGAUGAUAUAAAAAAGAGGUUGCUUGCAGAAAAAAAUCCAGCAAGGCGAAGGCGCAUGUUGCUUUGAAAAUGUUCAGAACUUUCAUUUUUUUUUUUUUUUUUCCAGUUCUCGUUUUCUUGAAUGGGAG